rnacentral:rRNA from 1 species
AUUGAACGCUGGCGGCAGGCCUAACACAUGCAAGUCGAGCGGAUGAAGGGAGCUUGCUCCUGGAUUCAGCGGCGGACGGGUGAGUAAUGCCUAGGAAUCUGCCUGGUAGUGGGGGAUAACGUCCGGAAACGGGCGCUAAUACCGCAUACGUCCUGAGGGAGAAAGUGGGGGAUCUUCUGACCUCACGCUCUCAGAUGAGCCUAGGUCGGAUUAUCUAGUUGGUGGGGUAAAGGCCUACCAAGGCGACGAUCCGUAACUGGUCUGAGAGGAUGAUCAGUCACACUGGAACUGAGACACGGUCCAGACUCCUACGGGAGGCAGAAGUGGGGAAUAUUGGACAAUGGGCGAAAGCCUGAUCCAGCCAUGCCGCGUGUGUGAAGAAGGUCUUCGGAUUGUAAAGCACUUUAAGUUGGGAGGAAGGGCAGUAAGUUAAUAACUUGCUGUUUUGACGUUACCAACAGAAUAAGCACCGGCUAACUUCGUG